rnacentral:misc_RNA from 1 species
GUGUAUAAGAGACAGGUGAAUCAUCGAAUCUUUGAACGCACAUUGCACCUCAUGGUAUUCCGUGAGGUAUACAUGUUCGAGCGUCGUUUGAACCCCUAAGACUCAGUCUUGUGUUGACAUUCCCGGGGGUAAAAGCCGGGAUGUUGAAAAUGAUUGGCGCACGAAUCGUUUUGAGGGCACCCAAUAAAAUGGGCAAGUACUCUUGCGGAGUGGGCAGCCAUUUAAAAACCUUAUUUAAACGUUCGACCUCGAAUCAUGUAGGAUUACCCGCUGAACUUAAGCAUAUCAAUAAGCGGAGGA